GAUGAACGCUAGCGGCAGGCUUAACACAUGCAAGUCGAGGGGUAGAGGUUGCUUGCAACCUUGAGACCGGCGCACGGGUGCGUAACGCGUAUGCAACCUACCUUUUACAGAGGGAUAGCCCAGAGAAAUUUGGAUUAAUACCUCAUAGUAUAUAUCUUUCGCAUGUUAGGUAUAUUAAAGUUCCAACGGUAAAAGAUGGGCAUGCGUCCUAUUAGCUAGAUGGUAAGGUAACGGCUUACCAUGGCUACGAUAGGUAGGGGUCCUGAGAGGGAGAUCCCCCACACUGGUACUGAGACACGGACCAGACUCCUACGGGAGGCAGCAGUGAGGAAUAUUGGACAAUGGGCGCAAGCCUGAUCCAGCCAUGCCGCGUGCAGGAAGAAGCACCUAUGGUGCGUAAACUGCUUUAGUACAGGAAGAAACAUCCCGACGUGUCGGGACUUGACGGUACUGUAAGAAUAAGGAUCGGCUAACUCCGUGCCAGCAGCCGCAGUAAUAC
rnacentral:rRNA from 1 species